rnacentral:rRNA from 1 species
UUUAAUUGAAGAGUUUGAUCAUGGCUCAGAUUGAACGCUGGCGGCAGGCCUAACACAUGCAAGUCGAGCGGUAGCACAGGAGAGCUUGCUCUCUGGGUGACGAGCGGCGGACGGGUGAGUAAUGUCUGGGAAACUGCCUGAUGGAGGGGGAUAACUACUGGAAACGGUAGCUAAUACCGCAUAACGU